AAAAGGUGGCUAUGCUACCGCUUUUGGAUGGGCCCGCGGCGCAUUAGCUAGUUGGUGGGGUAAAGGCUUACCAAGGCAAUGAUGCGUAGCCGAACUGAGAGGUUGAUCGGCCACAUUGGGACUGAGACACGGCCCAAACUCCUACGGGAGGCAGCAGUAGGGAAUCUUCCACAAUGGGCGAAAGCCUGAUGGAGCAACGCCGCGUGGGUGAAGAAGGUCUUCGGAUCGUAAAACCCUGUUGUUAGAGAAGAAAGUGCGUGAGAGUAACUGUUCACGUUUCGACGGUAUCUAACCAGAAAGCCACGGCUAACUACGUGCCAGCAGCCGCGGUAAUACGUAGGUGGCAAGCGUUAUCCGGAUUUAUUGGGCGUAAAGGGAACGCAGGCGGUCUUUUAAGUCUGAUGUGAAAGCCUUCGGCUUAACCGGAGUAGUGCAUUGGAAACUGGGAGACUUGAGUGCAGAAGAGGAGAGUGGAACUCCAUGUGUAGCGGUGAAAUGCGUAGAUAUAUGGAAGAACACCAGCGGCGAAAGCGGCUCUCUGGUCUGUAACUGACGCUGAGGUUCGAAAGCGUGGGUAGCAAACAGGAUUAGAUACCCUGGUAGUCCACGCCGUAAACGAUGAAUGCUAAGUGUUGGAGGGUUUCCGCCCUUCA
rnacentral:rRNA from 1 species